AACGAACGCUGGCGGCAGGCCUAACACAUACAAGUCGAGCGAGGACUUCGGUUCUAGCGGCGGACGGGUGAGUAACGCGUGGGAAUGUGCCCUUCUCUACGGAAUAGCCCUGGGAAACUGGGAGUAAUACCGUAUACGCCCUUUUGGGGAAAGAUUUAUCGGAGAAGGAUCAGCCCGCGUUGGAUUAGGUAGUUGGUGGGGUAAUGGCCUACCAAGCCGACGAUCCAUAGCUGGUUUGAGAGGAUGAUCAGCCACACUGGGACUGAGACACGGCCCAGACUCCUACGGGAGGCAGCAGUGGGGAAUCUUAGACAAUGGGGGCAACCCUGAUCUAGCCAUGCCGCGUGAGUGAUGAAGGCCUUAGGGUUGUAAAGCUCUUUCAGCUGGGAAGAUAAUGACGGUACCAGCAGAAGAAGCCCCGGCUAACUCCGUG
rnacentral:rRNA from 1 species